rnacentral:rRNA from 1 species
GACGAACCGUGCGAACGUUAUUCGGAAUCACUGGGCUUAAAGCGCGUGUAGGCGGGUCGGUGCGUCGGCCGCUGAAAUCCCCCGGCUCAACCGGGGAAGGAGCGCCGAUACGACCGGCCUGGAGCGACGUAGGGGGGACUGGAACUUCCGGUGGAGCGGUGAAAUGCGUUGAGAUCGGAAGGAACGCCCGCGGCGAAAGCGAGUCCCUGGACGUCGGCUGACGCUGAGACGCGAAAGCCAGGGGAGCGAACGGG